rnacentral:lncRNA from 1 species
CUCGGGAGCCUCCACCCAGGCGCAUGGCUCCAUGAAGCAAGAGGAGGAGGCAGAGCGCGAGAGAUCCCGUCCGCCCCAGCCGCGUCUGGGCCAGGAGAAAAGGUGGGAAACUCGGGCUGCGCCGCACCCUUCUCCCCGCUGCCGGGCCAGGCCUCCCUCGGUCCGCCGCCGCCUUGCCCGCCGGGCCUGUUCUCGCCGGGGCGGGCGGCGGGGCCGGGAAGAGACCCCGCGGUCCUGGGGCGAGGGUCCGGGGGCAGCGUGGGGGAGGGGUCCCGGGCGGCGGGCGGGGCCUCAGGCCAUGUCCCAGCGGAGGGCAGGGGGUCGGGAGGCACUGCCGGGGAGGGGCGGGCGGCGCCGUGCCCCGGGCCGCGAGGCUCGGCUCCCGCUCCUGGUCCUUGUCUGCACUCCCUCCAGGAAGCAGGCUCGCUCGCUGUAAUGUUUGGUGGUCUCCGGCGCCGCCUGGUGGCCCCCACCCACCGUCCCGCCGCCCCGCCGCCCCCUCCCCCGCCCGGCGUCUGGAUUCCACCCCCGCGGCUCGGCCCAAGCUGCUCUACCCGUCGCUCCAUCGUCUCCCCAAAUCCCCAGCGCCCCGGACCCUCUUUCCUCAUACCCUCCUUUCUCACCUUUCACCCUGUCCCUCGGCCCGCUUUUCCCCUCCCCGCUCUGUCCUGUCGUUUUCUUAACACUCUUCACACGCGCACUUCCUCCUCCUCCUCUUCUCUUUUUCCCACCCCUACCUUUGGGCCCUCCUUCCUUAACCUCCGCUGGCCCCCCAUUCCAUGAUCCGUCCACCUGACACGCUGGGUUUCAUGCCUCUCUUUCCCAGGCUGUGGGUUGUGCCCUUCACUCCUUGCCCUCCUCCAUUCCCUGUCCUGAUCUGAACUCCUCUCCUUGCCACGCUCCCUCACCCUUAUCCCUCUGCACACUCCAAAAUUUUUAAAGAAAAAGGAGAGAGAGAAAAAAAAGUAAAAGAAACCCAAAAGGGAAAAUAUAGCUAAGGUGAACUGCAAAACCAUAUUCCUGCUGCUGUCAGUUUUGAUGCACUGAGAAAACUUCAGAGACCUAAGCUUUUUCCAGAGAAGAGAAGCUUUACUGGUGUUCCAGCCCUAAGAAACCUUUGUUCAACAAAACUGCAGAUGCUCUGUUGAAUCCACUGGAGAUUGUCCUGAUACUAAGGACAAGUAUGCUCAUAUGACAUUAACAGACAAGACACUUUUCAGAAAGACAGGCAACGUGUUGGACCUUCCGGAGCUUCUCAGAAGACAGAGGGUUUUCUUUUGAGGUGUGUUUGUCAAAGUGUCUCUGAUGAACCACAACAAGUUUGUCAAGUGCAAGAAGACUUCAGCUGUGCUGGGCUCCAUCAACCCUGUGUACAAUGAGACCUUCAGCUUCAAGGCCGAUGCCACCAAGCUGGAUACCGCUAGCCUCAGCCUGACCGCGGUGCAGAACAUGGAAGGGGACAAGCAAAGGCAGGGCCCCUUUGGGGGCCGUCAGCUCCCACUCAGAGAGGAGGGGAGUUGCUACUUCCUCCUGGGGAGGAGGAGGGAGGAAAGGAGGUCACUGGGGACGGGGCUUCUGUGCUCAGGAGCACACUGGUGCUCUCCCUCCCCUGCAGAGAGCCAGCAGCUGGGCUGAGUGGUGGUGGGCCCCUACAUGUACACCCGUGGCAGAGAGCUGGAGCACUGGGACGAGAUGCUCAGCAAGCCCAAGGAGCUGGUGAAGCGCUGGCAUGCGCUCUGCCGCACCACGGAGCCCUGACCCUUCGCCCAGCACCGCGGUUCCGCUUUGGGAGCCGACCAUCCUCGCAGUUGCACGUGACAGCCACAGCCACACGCAUGGACGUUUCAUCCAACAGCUCCCCGAGCUGCCAGGCCAGCCCGAGCCAGGAGGACGUGAGUGCUGAUAUGCAGGAGAGAAGAGGGGACAAAGAAGUCCUGGCCCGGUCAGCGGCUCUGGCCAUACAGCCUUCCGACACACUCCCUCCUCCUUGCCUGCAGGGCUGCCUGGGCUCGGAAUCCCAGCCCCUGGUCCUCACAGCCCUGAUUUGGACCAGAAUCUCAGGUGCUCAGAAGAAAGAUCCUGUUUAGUGAUGACCCAGCUCUACCUGCUGAAUGGACCUGCAGGGUAAACUUGGGUGCCUCCAUCUGGGAAAGCUGAUGAUGUGUUCAUGCAGUCG